rnacentral:rRNA from 1 species
GAUGAACGCUGGCGGCGUGCCUAAUACAUGCAAGUCGAGCGAACGGACGAGAAGCUUGCUUUUCUGAUGUUAGCGGCGGACGGGUGAGUAACACGUGGAUAACCUACCUAUAAGACUGGGAUAACUUCGGGAAACCGGAGCUAAUACCGGAUAAUAUUUUGAACCGCAUGGUUCAAAAGUGAAAGACGGUCUUGCUGUCACUUAUAGAUGGAUCCGCGCUGCAUUAGCUAGUUGGUAAGGUAACGGCUUACCAAGGCAACGAUGCAUAGCCGACCUGAGAGGGUGAUCGGCCACACUGGAACUGAGACACGGUCCAGACUCCUACGGGAGGCAGCAGUAGGGAAUCUUCCGCAAAGGGCGAAAGCCUGACGGAGCAACGCCGCGUGAGUGAUGAAGGUCUUCGGAUCGUAGAACUCUGUUAUUAGGGAAGAACAUAUGUGUAAGUAACUGUGCACAUCUUGACGGUACCUAAUCAGAAAGCCACGGCUAACUACGUG